rnacentral:rRNA from 1 species
GACAGAGGUGCCGAGCGUUAGGCGGAAUCACUGGGCUUAAAGCGUGUGUAGGCGGAUCGUUAAGUGUCUUGUGAAAUCCCACGGCUCACCCGUGGAACGGCUGGGCAUACUGGCGAUCUUGGGCCAACUAGGGGCAACUGGAACAAGCGGUGGAGCGGUGAAAUGCGUAGAUAUCGCUUGGAACGCCGAAGGUGAAAACAGGUUGCUGGGGUUGUGCCGACGCUGAGAACACGAAAGCCAGGGGAGCAAACGGG